rnacentral:rRNA from 1 species
GAUGAACGCUGGCGGCGUGCCUAAUACAUGCAAGUCGAGCGAACAGAUGAGGAGCUUGCUCCUCUGACGUUAGCGGCGGACGGGUGAGUAACACGUGGAUAACCUACCUAUAAGACUGGGAUAACUUCGGGAAACCGGAGCUAAUACCGGAUAAUAUAUUGAACCGCAUGGUUCAAUAGUGAAAGACGGUUUUGCUGUCACUUAUAGAUGGAUCCGCGCCGCAUUAGCUAGUUGGUAAGGUAACGGCUUACCAAGGCAACGAUGCGUAGCCGACCUGAGAGGGUGAUCGGCCACACUGGAACUGAGACACGGUCCAGACUCCUACGGGAGGCAGCAGUAGGGAAUCUUUCGCAAUGGGCGAAAGCCUGACGGAGCAACGCCGCGUGAGUGAUGAAGGUCUUCGGAUCGUAAAACUCUGUUAUUAGGGAAGAACAAAUGUGUAAGUAACUAUGCACGUCUUGACGGUACCUAAUCAGAAGGCCACGGCUAACUACGUG